AAUUUACUGCAUUAAUCAAGCAUUUCAAUUCUGGCAAGGCACCGCGUAAAUGACAAAACCGCGUAAAUCCAGACUCGACUGUACUGUAUUUAGUGCAGGGUAUAAUUACCAGGUGGUCAGAGUCAGUUAUUGUUUUUCCUGCAUUAAGUUGUUUGUUCCUAAAUAAGAACUGGGCCCAAAUGACUAAAGAUCCAGUGAGGCUCAAUGUCAGAGUUUGAAACUUUUGCAGAAGAAUCACACAGUUCAAUAAUACCCUGGUGGCCAUAUAAAGGGAGUUCAUAUGCCAGACUUUACAGUUCUUACCAUGACACCAAACUGACAAUGUUCCCUGACUUCAUAUGGGAGCUUUGGUUCCCAGUGCCUUUAUGUGGGUUAUCCAAGAAAGAUAAUUGUUUUGAUUGCAUACUUUUAUAAUCUAUUUUAUGGUUUUACCAGGCGGCAUCUGCCACACAGUUAACACUUACAGUGUCUAUGGGUUGAGGUGAGUAAUGUGCAGUUAAUCAGUUCCUGAGAAGGUGUCAAUUAAGUUUUGGUGGUAAUUUAAAUAUUUUCCUGAUGGUGGUCAGUAAGUGAGGCUGCCCUGUAACCUUGGACCAUGUGUUAGUGGCUUUCAUCCAAGUAUCUUUGGCACCCGGGUUGUCCUCCUUCCACAUGAACCAAACAUCUGCAGGAGCUGAGAGGACUGGCAUCAGAAUUCCCUUUAUAAAGCUGAGGAGGGUCAGAUCAUGAAUUGAAGCCUCACUGGACCUUAGGUCAACCAUUGGAUUAGCUGGGAUUGAAUCUUCAAUCUCUAUUCAACCAGACUGGGAAGUCAUUUAUGAUACCCAAGCUAUCAACACUCAACAUUGGAACUAACAGUUAGCUAGAUCACAAGUCCACAUCAGGUAUUCAGUAAGAAUGGGUGGUCAUCUGUAUCACAGGUGUACACCAAGAGUACAGUACUGUGUAGUGUAUGUGGACAUCCAUCACACUGUUGGAGGUCUUUACCAACUCUCCAGUGAGAAUGAAUGUGAAUCGGUGUGUAAAGUCAGCACCAGCUUUCCAGUGACAGUGGAAGCCCAUCACCAGCUUAAGUCUAUGCCGGGUCUUCAGUGAGUGUGGUUGUCCCCCACAGUUACACGUCCACGCCAUGUCUCCAGUGAAAAUCAUUAUCUAUUAACCAAAAAUCCUUACCCAGUGUCACAAGAUUGGAUUCACAAGAUUGCUGCAAAAUAUAUCAUGUCCACACCAAUUCAUAAGUGAGAGUGGAUGGCCAUCCCUAUCCCAAGUUCACAUCUGUGUACACUGAGGAUGGAUGGUUAUCAAUGUUACAGAUUUGCAUUUUGUUUCCAGUGAUUGAGGGUGAUUGUCAGUGACUGAAGUCAACACUAAAGCUACUGUGAGUUAGUCUGUUAAUUUUAUGAAAUUCCUCCUCAUGGUUAUCAUAAGUCCACAUUGAGUCUGCUGAAAAACAACUAAAUAACCUCAAAGUGUCUCGUUAUUAUAUAUCCUUUUGGUUCUCGUUAUAUGCAAAACCCAGCCAAGAAAUGACACCAUGGAAAUGUAAUCUGCUCAAUUUCCCUUCAAAUUGUAACUAAUGAAAGGUGAGACAUCACAAAAUCCUCACUUCCAAAUACUGCAGUCUGAGUUGAUGAUUUAGUAAAGAUGUCACAAUAAUAUGCAGUUUGCAAGAUCAUUAAUUAAGUUUCAUACAGUACUUGUCUUGAAAUAUGGCAAAUACAUUAUAUUAAAACAAUUUUAUAUACUUUAAUUUAUUUUAAUAUAAUUUUCAAGAUAUUCUGUAAAAUAAGAAAGUUUAAGAGUUUGUUUGAUAGUGAUUCAUGACUAAAUCGAGGGAAAGGGAAAAUUAUGGGCAUGAUGUCUUUCAUUAAUAUUAAAUUGGAAUCAAGGUGGUGAAGUAGGGAAGAAAUCCUUGAGGAUGUGAGGUGAUAAAGAAGUAUUAUACUGCAUCCAAUUAUGACAGAGUCACUGGAAAGUAUAAUUGGCUAUAGAGAUUGAUAUUUGUCCAUAAUGUGAGGAUAAUUCAGUACUUUUUAAAAUUUAUACUUACCAUCAUUCCUAUCAUACUGUACAAGGUUAUAUUUUUUCUCCCAAGUAUGGAAAGUGAGUUUCUGAGUCUUAAGUGGGUGAUUUAAGCAGUCAUAACUAGGUAUAAAUUACAAAUUCUAGCGUGUACACCAGAGGCCACAAGUUAUGAGUGCACAAUCAAACCGUCACAAUAGUCCAUUGAAUGAAAAGGUGCUACCGUACUGCAUUUACCUGUGUGCAUAUCACUCUUUUUGAUACCAGAGUUGUCAAUAUUUGAUUUAAUUAGAACUUCAGCAAAUAAA
rnacentral:lncRNA from 1 species